rfam:Picea glauca, whole genome shotgun sequence.
ACAUGCCUAUAACAUAGCAUUAAUGCAGUGGAUCCCAUUAGAAAUAUGGAGUUAAGCGCGCUCAGGCUAGAGUGAUACUAGGAUAGGUGACCACUUGGGAAGUCCUAGUGUUUUACAUGCC